AUAGCGUAGCAAAGACGGUGAAAUGUCAACCUGCACUUGACCCACAUGUGACCCACAUGUGACCCACAGCACCGUGAUGACAGCCUUCCCUGCUUUCUUCACAGCCAUUGGAUAAAAGCCAGACUUUAAAGAAGACUUAAAUUUGACUUGAAACCUAGAGCCAAUGAAAAUGUGGGACUUCGUCUCAAUAUGUGGGACGUGGGACAACAGAUGAAAAUGCUGUGCAGUCUUUCGUAAAGUUGGACACCAUGGUCACCCUAUCUCCACCACUGUUAAAAACUGGGACAGGACAGACGUAGCCUAAUCAAAUAUUGUUUUUGAAUUGCUGCAGUGUGCUGAAACACCCCCCUUCUGGCAACCUCACAUGAUGGGCUGAAACACAUAAAACUGGAACCAAACACAUAACUUGAAACUGAACAAUAAAGCUGUUCUCUGAGAAAUAAGAUGUCGAGGAUGACUUUGAAUCUGGCAAGUGCAUCUUUAACGUGGUCGGAGGGUACCGGUAUUACAUUCACACUCAAUAUAUCCACCGCUGGUUUUCAGUAUGCACUACUUGCGGGAUUAGUUCUGACAGUGGCACUGACAGUGGCAGUGGGAUUGGCCGUGGGAUUGGGAAUGGGAGUGUACUCUAAUAUGAAAAAAGAAAAGAAAACUUGACUGAGGAGUUCCUUCAUCUCGAAUUAACUGCAAAAGCAUCUAUGGGAUCAUAACUCUGUAAUAAAAACAAAGAUGACAGACAUUGACAACAUUUAUUCUAACUAGGCUAUAGGCAAUGUGUAAUAUCUGGCCACAUGUGCCAAACAAAUAGGCGGCAGCAUUUCUGUCCAUACAUCUAAAUCUAAAAAGAGAUAAGACAGUGAUUGGAAUGAACGUCACUGAUGUGCUCAAAAUGGAAACUAAGUUGGUGUGUGGAUUCCAUGCUUUUGAUAUACUCACACUAGGCCUUAUAUCUGUGAAGGGGAACCAGGAAUCAGCUAAUAAGAAGAACAUUUAAGAAGAUUGUUUCUUUGUCUCAAAUGCAUUGGAAAGGCAUGGACAUCUAAAGGGCCGGAGAGGUCUGGCACUGUGCAGUUCCUAGAGCAACUCCUCUUUUUGCAAAUCAUGUGAUGAAAAUAAAGUUGGUUCAGCAAA